rnacentral:ncRNA from 1 species
UCUUAUCGAGAGAAGUGGAGGGGCGGGCCCAAUGAAGCUUCGGCAACAGAUUCGUUUGAAUACUGUGCCAAAUCCUGCAGCCAAUCGUGCUGGCAGAUAAG